UGGGUGUGUAAGCGUUGUGAGGCGUUGAGCUAACCAGUACUAAUUGCCCGUGAGGCUUGACCAUA
rnacentral:rRNA from 1 species